GACGAACGCUGGCGGCGUGCUUAACACAUGCAAGUCGAACGAAGUGGCGAACGGGUGAGUAACGCGUAAUCAACCUGCCCUUCAGAGGGGGACAACAGUUGGAAACGACUGCUAAUACCGCAUACUGAAGGAGGGGUUUGCGUCUGAUUAGCUAGUUGGAGGGGUAACGGCCCACCAAGGCGAUGAGCAGUAGCCGGUCUGAGAGGGUGGACGGCCACAUUGGGACUGGGACCCGGCCCAAGCCCCUAUGGGGAGCAGCCAUGGGGAAUCUUCCGCAAUUGGCGAAAGUCUGACGGAGCAACGCCGCGUUGGUGAUGACGGCCUUCGGGUUGUAAAGCUCUGUUAAGCGGGACGCGGUACCGGAAUAGAAAGCCACGGCUAACUACGUGCCAGCAGCCGCGGUAAUUC
rnacentral:rRNA from 1 species